AGCGAACGUUUGCGGCGGGCUUAACACAUGCAAGUCGAACGGGCUGUUCCUUCGGGGGCAGUCAGUGGCGCACGGGUGCGUAACACGUAGGUAAUCAACCCUCUGGUUGGGGAUAACACUUCGAAAGGAGUGCUAAUACCCCGGUAUGGCGCAGCGGUCUUCGGAUCGCGGCGAGAAAGACCCGCAAGGGUUGCCAGAGGACGAGCCUGCGGCCCAUCAGCUAGUUGGCGAGGUAACGGCUCACCAAGGCGAAGACGGGUAGCUGGUCUGAGAGGAUGAUCAGCCACACUGGAACUGAGACACGGUCCAGACUCCUACGGAGGCAGCAGUGGGGAAUUUUGGACAAGUGGCGCAAGCCUGAUCCAGCCAUGCCGCGUGAGUGAAGAAGG
rnacentral:rRNA from 1 species